AUGGGUAAUACAAAAAGCAAGCCAGUUGAACACAUAUCAGGAGUUGACGUUACUACCGUCCUUUCGAGUGGGAGAAAUGUUGAAAAUAACAAUGCAAACAUCAUUCCCGUAGCUGAAAAUGUUGUUGGAAAUUAUGCUACGGUUCCACAACUCUUGGUCCCGGUUGUAGAGCAUAAUGAAGCUCCAUUAUCGGCCCCGAGUAUACUAAUAGGACAAUCUUGCACAGAUGAAAAUGUUGGAUCAUUAUCGCAACUGGUUGGGGAUCAGCAUGAUGCUUCGUUGUUGUCUUUGACUGUAGGCUGUGAACCUUCAAACGAUGCAUUAGAUGGGGCGACAGUGCACAAACCACAUGCACGCUUAUCCACAAUCGAUAAUGACGUGAUCGAUAGUGGCUCAUCAUUGAACUAA
rnacentral:rRNA from 1 species